rnacentral:rRNA from 1 species
AUUGAACGCUGGCGGCAUGCUUUACACAUGCAAGUCGAACGGUAACAGGGUGCUUGCACCGCUGACGAGUGGCGAACGGGUGAGUAAUGCGUCGGAACGUGCCGAGUAGUGGGGGAUAACGCAGCGAAAGUUGUGCUAAUACCGCAUACGUACUGAGGUAGAAAGUGGGGGACCUGCGGGCCUCAGUCUAUUCGAGCGGCCGACGUGUGAUGAGCUGGUAGGUGAGGUAAAGGCUCACCUAGGCGACGAUAAGUAGGGGUUCUGAGAGGAUGAUCAGCAACACUGGGACUGAGACACGGCCCAGACUCCUACGGGAGGCAGCAGUGGGGAAUUUUGGACAAUGGGCGAAAGCCUGAUCCAGCCAUGCCGCGUGUCUGAAGAAGGCCUUCGGGUUGUAAAGGACUUUUGUCGGGGAGGAAAUCCCCAGCGUUAAUACCGCUGGGGGAUGACAGUACCUGAAGAAUAAGCACCGGCUAACUACGUGCCAGCCGCCGCGGUAAGAC